rnacentral:rRNA from 1 species
AGCAGUCGCCGCGGUAAUACAGAGGGUGCGAGCGUUAAUCGGAUUUACUGGGCGUAAAGCGUGCGUAGGCGGCUUCUUAAGUCGGAUGUGAAAUCCCUGAGCUUAACUUAGGAAUUGCAUUCGAUACUGGGAAGCUAGAGUAUGGGAGAGGAUGGUAGAAUUCCAGGUGUAGCGGUGAAAUGCGUAGAGAUCUGGAGGAAUACCGAUGGCGAAGGCAGCCAUCUGGCCUAAUACUGACGCUGAGGUACGAAAGCAUGGGGAGCAAACAGGAUUAGAUACCCGUUAGUCCCUGUCUCUUAUACA